UAAUAAUUGCAAAGCUGAUAUAAUGUUUGUGUUCUUUGGUAGAUUAACUUGAACAAUUACCAGGGAAUUGUUUCUUUUGUGAACAUUGACAAUGUCCAUUGGAAGUUUCUGUUCAUAAAUGCGGUCAACCACACAGUGUACCUGGUAGACCCAUCAAAAAGUCCCACAGAGAAAGAUGACUCAAUUCAUGCUGCCCAAAAACUCAGUGAGUACAUACAAAUGAGGAAUACGCAACAAAGAAAAACAGAGUGGCAGAAUAUACAGUGGAAAGGAGGAGUUAUGACACAUCCAGUCCAGCAGGAUGGAAGUAGCUGUGGCGUCAUUGUUGUCUUG